GAUAACAUCAUACUAACACAAUAAUGCGUAUAAGGACUUGCUAUUAAAAAAAGGAUUCUGUCGAUACUGUGUAAUCGCGGACUUAUCGCACGUCAAACAAAAUCGUCUUUUCCAAUGCUUUGCUAACAAACGAGCUUACGUUUUGUCAUUUACUUAUUUAUUCAUUUGUAUGACAUUUUAUUGGAUUAAUGAAUGUUCUCUUCCAACCUCCUCGUGCAAUAUGGAAGACAUAAUAUCUUGUAUCUUUAGGAAUUUUGUUCUCCCUAUGGGACUUGUAUGCUUUACCGAUCACAGAAAAGGUUUGCCGUAGUUCAGAAUUUCUUCUCUUCAGGGCUAUGGGUGCAAUAAUUACGAUCACAAUCCUCGCGACGCAGGUUGGGCCAUUCCGUGUUCAAAUAAAUCAACUGCUGCGGAUACGCCGAUUGAGAAGACCCUUUCGGAAAUCAGGGUUCUGGAUUGUCCGGGUAACUGCGCCGAAGUUGUGACAGGAUUUACUGACGAGCCACGGUCCCAGAAGCGGAUAUUAAGGUCCUGCCAGGACGAUACCUUCAGUGAUAUGCCUCUAUUUUUACACGACAAGCCGCUGGGAUGUUAUCGAAAGGACGACUGCAACCCUCCUGGUCCAUGUCAGCAUGUUUAUUGUAUCUGCAACAGCCCUCUCUGUAACAACAAGACCGUACUGGAGGUCAUUAAAUCGGACGCAGACGCAUCCGCAAUAAAUAUCUGCCUUUUCUCGCUCUUACUUUUUCCUAGUGUCUUUAAUAAUUAAUUUAAGAAUAUUUGUACAAAAGAUUUGUGUUUUUUUGGGAAUUUUUAUUGGCAGGCCGCGGCAAAGUUAUCUGCUAUCACGUACAACGUUAGAAAAUUUCAAUGGUGUAGAAGGUAUUGUUUUAUGUCGAAAGAAAGGAAUUUUAUGUCGAAAGGACGCGUUUGCGCUCUCGAUUAAUAACGUGCUCGUCGCGGA